CAGCAGCCACGGUAAUACAGAGGGUGCAAGCGUUAAUCGGAAUUACUGGGCGUAAAGCGCGCGUAGGUGGUUUGUUAAGUUGGAUGUGAAAUCCCCGGGCUCAACCUGGGAACUGCAUCCAAAACUGGCAAGCUAGAGUAUGGUAGAGGGUGGUGGAAUUUCCUGUGUAGCGGUGAAAUGCGUAGAUAUAGGAAGGAACACCAGUGGCGAAGGCGACCACCUGGACUGAUACUGACACUGAGGUGCGAAAGCGUGGGGAGCAAACAGGAUUAGAUACCCCUGUAGUCCCUGUCUCUUAUAC
rnacentral:rRNA from 1 species